UUUCCGGUUGAUCCUGCCGGAGGUCAUUGCUAUCGGAGUCCGAUUUAGCCAUGCUAGUCGUGCGAGUUCACACUCGCGGCACCGAGCUCAGUAACACGUGGCCAAACUACCCUACAGAGACGGAUACCCUCGGGAAACUGAGGCUAACCCGUCAUACCGAUCUCAGGCUUGAAUCGCAGAGAUCACCAAACGCUCCGGCGCUGUAGGAUGUGGCUGCGGUUGAUUAGGUUGACGGUGGGGUAACGGCCCACCGUGCCCAUAAUCAGUACAGGUUGUGAGAGCAAGAACCUGGAGACGGAAUCUGAGACAAGAUUCCGGGCCCUACGGGGCGCAGCAGGCGCGAAACCUUUACACUGCACGCACGUGCGAUAAGGGGACUCCGAGUGCGAGGGCAUAUCGUCCUCGCUUUCGUGUACCGUAGGGUGGUACACCAACAAGGGCUGGGCAAGACCGGUGCCAGCCGCCGCGGUAAUACCGGCAGCCCGAGUGAUGGCCGAUCUUAUUGGGCCUAAAGCGUCCGUAGCUGGCCGCGCAAGUCCAUCGGAAAAUCCACCCGCCCAACGGGUGGGCGUCCGGUGGAAACUGUGUGGCUUGGGACCGGAAGGCGCGACGGGUACGUCCGGGGUAGGAGUGAAAUCCCGUAAUCCCGGACGGACUACCGAUGGCGAAAGCACUCUGAGAAGACGGCUUCGACAGUGAGGGACGAAAGCUCGGGUCUCAAACCGGAUUAGAUACCCGGGUAGUCCUAGCUGUAAACGAUGCUCGUUAGGUGUGGCACCCACUACGAGUGGGUGCUGUGCCGCAGGGAAGCCGCUAAACGAGCCGCCUGGGAAGUACGUCCGCAAGGAUGAAACUUAAAGGAAUUGGCGGGGGAGCACUACAACCGGAGGAGCCUGCGGUUUAAUUGGAGUCAACGCCGGAA
rnacentral:rRNA from 1 species